CCUCCUAGGCCAGCGGCCCUCCUCCGCCCCCCGGCCGGUCCCCCAGCCCAGAGCCCUACGAGCCCCGGACGGCGGGCAGCGGCACUUACCUCUGGAAAAGCUUCAGCAGAUGGCUCACUCUUCCCUUGCAACACUCCCCUGUAGACACUGCCUUUGCACCUUGGUUGCCAUGGAAAGGACAGAGCUCAAGGAGACCUUUCCAUCAAGACCCCUCUGGACCUGUGUGAUAUGUUCAGAUUUCACAGCUUCAGAAGUGAGAUUAAUUAACUCGAAGCUGGAAGAUCUGCAGGAAAAGCUGUAUCCCUCUGACACUAAACACGGAGCUUCUUCCUGAGAAGAAGGGACUAUUGCUGAGGGUGAACGUAAAAGAGACUCAUUGACUGUCGCCCAUUGGCACCCAUCCCUCAUU